GCCAGGCUUGGACCUGGGCAGGACAUGGGAAUCAACUGAAACCUUCUGGUAGGAUCCAGGAAGACGAGUCUCGUGCACCUUGCUAUCAACAUAAAGCUUCUUGCUGGAGGGUGUUUUGCUGCUUGGAAGAGAGCAAUGAGCCCUGAGUGGGUUCCACGGAACAGAUCCGGGAUGCCAGUGUGAGAAAUACCAGCUGGUGGAGGCUCCCUGGCAGAUCGUUUUGCUGAGGAUUCGGAGCAUCUGAGACAAAACGAAAAAACAUAAGAACUUUAGAUCCCACAGCAUGAACUCCUCAAAGUCGGUCUGGGCACACACCGCACGUGCGUUUUGGCGCUUUCCCAACCUUCUUAGUAUAAAGGUAAAUGACUCUAUUAACCAGGGGUUGGGCCAGCCUAAUUUUGUUAGAGGCUGUAUUAUAGGACAGGCUAUGAGUGUAUGUCAAAUGCUGGAACAUUCUGAAGGCCUAUGGACACUGUGCCUGGAAGAGAAAAAAAGGCUUAUAGUAUUCUUUUAAUGCACAUUAUCUUUUUCACGGAAAAUUAAUACUUAUAAAUGCUCCAUAAUUUUAAAAGACCCAUGAAAACCAUGAAGUCCACA